rnacentral:rRNA from 1 species
CUACGUGCCAGCAGCCGCGGUGAUACGUAGGUCCCGAGCGUUGUCCGGAUUUAUUGGGCGUAAAGCGAGCGCAGGCGGUUAGAUAAGUCUGAAGUUAAAGGCUGUGGCUUAACCAUAGUACGCUUUGGAAACUGUUUAACUUGAGUGCAGAAGGGGAGAGUGGAAUUCCAUGUGUAGCGGUGAAAUGCGUAGAUAUAUGGAGGAACACCGGUGGCGAAAGCGGCUCUCUGGUCUGUAACUGACGCUGAGGCUCGAAAGCGUGGGGAGCGAACAGGAUUAGAUACCCUGGUAGUCCACGCCGUAAACGAUGAGUGCUAGGUGUUAGGCCCUUUCCGGGGCUUAGUGCCGCAGCUAACGCAUUAAGCACUCCGCCUGGGGAGUACGACCGCAAGGUUGAAACUCAAAGGAAUUGACGGGGGCCCGCACAAGCGGAGGAACAUGUGGUUUAAUUCGAUGAUACGCGAGGAACCUUACCCGGGCUUGAAUUGCAGACGAACGAUUCAGAGA